ensembl:lncRNA HAGLR HOXD antisense growth-associated long non-coding RNA
GUGCCGCGCGCCCGCCAGACCGCCCAGGAGGCGGCGGCUAUUGUUCCCCGCAGGGGCCCGGGGCGCCCUGAAACGGGGUCCACGUCAGCCCGCUCCCGAGCGUGUCCUCAGGUCUAAGGACGGGUGGGGCUUCCUUUGUGUGUUCUCUGGAAGGGGCUGGGAUGGCGUCGUUGCUGCCCCAAGGGGUAACCGAGGGGGAUUGAGGGAAGAUGGUACCAGCUCCCUAGAGCUCAGCUCACCAGACCUACUCUUCCGCUCGACCCUUGCAGAGGAGGUGGGGACGGAUAUGGUAUUUGUAGGGCAGCGCUGUGAACAAUGGAGCCAUCAAAAAGGCCUUCUCCCAGCCUCCUCACCAACCACGGACAUUCCUGGCCCAACAAGACCUCCUGGCCAGGUUUUGAGCCCUGCUUCCCAGUUUCUGAAAGAAGGACCAAAGUAAUGCCAAGAACUCCCAGAUGAAGAGGACCUUCCUUAGACCUAUAACAGAUUCACUACUUGACUUCAGAGGGAAGUUUCAGCUAAUUCUCAGGAAAAGGUCAAAACAGGCCUGUGACUGUCCCUUGAAUACUGAAGGUAUAAACAAGCUUCUGGCUCCUCCAGGUCAAGCAGAGGAACACUUUUAUUAGAAUGAAGGGU